GACGAACGCUGGCGGCGUGCCUAAUACAUGCAAGUUGAGCGCUGAAGGUUGGUACUUGUACCCACUGGAUGAGCAGCGAACGGGUGAGUAACGCGUGGGGAAUCUGCCUUUGAGCGGGGGACAACAUUUGGAAACGAAUGCUAAUACCGCAUAAAAACUUUAAACACAAGUUUUAAGUUUGAAAGAUGCAAUUGCAUCACUCAAAGAUGAUCCCGCGUUGUAUUAGCUAGUUGGUGAGGUAAAGGCUCACCAAGGCGAUGAUACAUAGCCGACCUGAGAGGGUGAUCGGCCACAUUGGGACUGAGACACGGCCCAAACUCCUACGGGAGGCAGCAGUAGGGAAUCUUCGGCAAUGGACGAAAGUCUGACCGAGCAACGCCGCGGGAGUGAAGAAGGUUGUCGGAUCGUAAAACUCUGUUGGUAGAGAAGAACGUUGGUGAGAGUGGAAAGCUCAUCAAGUGACGGUAACUACCCAGAAAGGGACGGCUAACUACGUG
rnacentral:rRNA from 1 species